rnacentral:miRNA from 1 species
CUCCUAUGAGAUGCCUUUCCUC